rnacentral:tRNA from 1 species
CGCGGCGAUCCGGGCGGUCCCGGGCUCCAGUUCAUACCUGGCAGCGGUGCGGGUUCGACUCCCGCCGUCGCGUCCA